rnacentral:rRNA from 1 species
ACCAGACUCCUACGGGAGGCAGCAGUGGGGGAUAUUGCACAAUGGGGGGAACCCUGAUGCAGUGACGCCGCGUGGGUGAAGAAGUAUUUCGGUAUGUAAAGCCCUAUCGGCAGGGAAGAAAUUGGACGGUACCUGACUAAGAAGCCCUGGCUAACUACGUGCCAGCAGCCGCGGUAAUACGUAGGGGGCAAGCGUUAUCCGGAUUCACUGGGUGUAAAGGGAGCGUAGACGGCCAUGCAAGCCUGGAGUGAAAGCCCGGGGCCCAACCCCGGGACUGCUCUGGGAACUGUGCGGCUGGAGUGCGGGAGGGGCAGGCGGAAUUCCUGGUGUAGCGGUGAAAUGCGUAGAUAUCAGGAGGAACACCGGCGGCGAAGGCGGCCUGCUGGACCGCGACUGACGUUGAGGCUCGAAAGCGUGGGGAGCAAACAGGAUUAGAUACCCUGGUAU